AGUGUAGUGUUCGUACAUCAUACACUCGUACAUCAAGGUACCACUGUAUUAUUGUUAAAUUAAUAUUUAAACCCAGCAGCCGGAGCUAGUGUUUAUUUCUAUAUGACAGCAUUUAAGUACGUAGAUAUAAAAUAGUUUGCGUUUGUAUUUCGAUUAAAGCGGACCUGUGCGUGAUUUUAUUGAAAUGAAAGUACAUCUUUUACUGGCUUUCCUGAUUGGGACCUGUUAUGCUGACAAUGGCGUAUGCAACAUGUCAAACGGUUCAAUAGGGAAAUGUGUCGAACCAGGACAAUGUAAGGCACCUGAUCUUGGUAACUUGAAUGUUUACAGGACAAUACAAAUGGUGUGCCAAACGGGAGAAGAAUGCUGUGAUUUUAUAGAUGUAAUUCAAUCUUCUAAUUCACCCAUUACCGUUAAUAAUUAUAUAAGAACUUCAAAUACUAAUAUGAAUAUAAAUUAUAAUUAUUUCAAUUAUAAUAAUAAUUUUCAAGAAUAUUAUAAAUAGUUAAUUUUUGGUCAGUAAUUAAGUUUUAAGUUCAAUAAGAUAAAUACGAACCUGCUGUAGCGACAUAUACAAUCUGUGGUUAUAAACUUAUUCCGAUUAAAGAUAUCUGCAACUUGAUAGAAUAUAUUGUCAUUAAAUCCAUUGAAGCUGUCGAGCCAAGACUAGUCGAUGAUGCAUUCGUCCACCUUAUAGAACUGGAACUGCAGCACCUUUUUUCCUCUAUAUUUGUUUUUGUUAAAACUGUUUAAUUUCUUUAGGCAUUUAUCACUUUUCGUAGCAAAAUAUUUUAAGUUAAAUUUUCAAAUUGAACUGAAAUAGUUUAAGAAAACUGUGAAUGAGCUUAUUAUGUGUGAAAAUUUUGUAAAAUGAAGUUAUCAAAAUAGUGUUAUUUAAUUUAUUCCUAAAUGAUUACAAUAGUGUGAGGAAAUAAAUUAAUUCAACAAUUA